UACGUAGGGUGCGAGCGUUAAUCGGAAUUACUGGGCGUAAAGCGUGCGCAGGCGGGCUUUUAAGCCAGACGUGAAAUCCCCGGGCUUAACCUGGGAAUGGCGUUUGGGACUGGAAGUCUGGAGUGCGGCAGAGGAGACUGGAAUUCCUGGUGUAGCAGUGAAAUGCGUAGAUAUCAUUAGGAACUCCGGUGGCGAAGGCGGCACGCUGGACCUCUUCUGACGCUGAGGCGCGAAAGCCAGGGGAGCAAACGGG
rnacentral:rRNA from 1 species